rnacentral:rRNA from 1 species
CGCUAGCUACAGGCUUAACACAUGCAAGUCGAGGGGCAGCAUGGUCUUAGCUUGCUAAGGCCGAUGGCGACCGGCGCACGGGUGAGUAACGCGUAUCCAACCUGCCUUACACUCUUGGACAGCCUUCUGAAAGGGAGAUUAAUACAAGAUGUUAUCAUGAGUAAGCAUUUUCGCAUGAUUAAAGGUUUACCGGUGUAAGAUGGGGAUGCGUUCCAUUAGAUAGUAGGCGGGGUAACGGCCCACCUAGUCUUCGAUGGAUAGGGGUUCUGAGAGGAAGGUCCCCCACAUUGGAACUGAGACACGGUCCAAACUCCUACGGGAGGCAGCAGUGAGGAAUAUUGGUCAAUGGACGAGAGUCUGAACCAGCCAAGUAGCGUGAAGGAUGAAGGUUCUAUGGAUUGUAAACUUCUUUUAUACGGGAAUAAACGAAUCCACGUGUGGAUUUUUGCAUGUACCGUAUGAAUAAGGAUCGGCUAACUCCGUGCCAGCAGCCGCGGUAAUACGGAGGAUCCGAGCGUUAUCCGGAUUUAUUGGGUUUAAAGGGAGCGUAGAUGGGUUGUUAAGUCAGUUGUGAAAGUUUGCGGCUCAACCGUAAAAUUGCAAUUGAUACUGGCAGUCUUGAGUACAGUUGAGGUAGGCGGAAUUCGUGGUGUAGCGGUGAAAUGCUUAGAUAUCACGAAGAACUCCGAUUGCGAAGGCAGCUUACUAACCUGUAACUGACAUUGAUGCUCGAAAGUGUGGGUAUCAAACAGGAUUAGAUACCCUGGUAGUCCACACGGUAAACGAUGAAUACUCGCUGUAGGCGAUAUACAGUCUGCGGCCAAGCGAAAGCAUUAAGUAUUCCACCUGGGGAGUACGCCGGCAACGGUGAAACUCAAAGGAAUUGACGGGGGCCCGCACAAGCGGAGGAACAUGUGGUUUAAUUCGAUGAUACGCGAGGAACCUUACCCGGGCUUAAAUUGCAACCGAAUAUGGCGGAAACGCUAUAGCUAGCAAUAGCGGUUGUGAAGGUGCUGCAUGGUUGUCGUCAGCUCGUGCCGUGAGGUGUCGGCUUAAGUGCCAUAACGAGCGCAACCCUUGCCGAUAGUUACUAACAGGUCAUGCUGAGGACUCUGUCGGGACUGCCAUCGUAAGAUGUGAGGAAGGUGGGGAUGACGUCAAAUCAGCACGGCCCUUACGUCCGGGGCUACACACGUGUUACAAUGGGGGGUACAGAGGGCUGCUACCACGCAAGUGGAUGCCAAUCCCAAAAACCUCUCUCAGUUCGGAUUGAAGUCUGCAACCCGACUUCAUGAAGCUGGAUUCGCUAGUAAUCGCGCAUCAGCCACGGCGCGGUGAAUACGUUCCCGGGCCUUGUACACACCGCCCGUCAAGCCAUGGGAGCCGGGGGUACCUGAAGUGCGUAACCGCAAGGAGCGCCCUAGGGUAAAACUGGUGA